CGUCCAGCCGUCCGCGACCCUCGACACCGACAUGCAUUCGCAGUUGCCGUUCGCGCAAAAUCCCGGAAUUUUCGGCCGGCGAUAGCGUCAGAUCGCGCGGCCGGCGCCGUACCGUCAUGAUGGUCGAGGCGUUCAGGCGUUCUUCAGCGCAACGCGGAAGCUGGCUUCGGUCUUGGCCUUCACUUCAUCGAGCGUGACCCCGUCGGCGAGUUCGAUCAGCGCCAUGCCGUC
rnacentral:misc_RNA from 1 species